CUUUCAGAGAUGACAGGGCUUCAGGGGACAUCGAGGUGUGGUCUAGGGGCUUCAUGCUCCCCAUAGGCCACAUUGACAUCCCUGACGUACAGGGUGACAGGAAGAGUUUCACACCUUCACCAUAUGACAAAUCCUGCAGGGAGUAAGUGUACAAACUAGGCCAUGUAGUCAGCAGGAACACCAACUUUGUGAUCAAUGCUGCCUGUGGCAAGAGAAAUCUGAGAGCUCAUUCCCUAUCUUCUGGCAAAAGGAUAUUCUAUGUGUUAUAAGCAGGGCUGGAAGUAGAAAUGAACACAAGUGAGUCAACAUUUCCUUUGUCAACGUGCUUUUGCUACAACGUGUGUCUCAGGGCAAAAUCUGAAGGAAGAUGAUGCAGCAGCAUUGCAGGAACUUGAACAGGUUUGGUACAUGAGUAAUGCAAGGAAGACUGAUCAAGAAUUCUAUGUAGGGACACACAAACGUGUUCAUGCCAAAAAGUGCUUGCUCUUUUGUAUAUGCUUCAAAUGCAAGCACACAGGGGACUGAUGUGUUAUGAAUCAUUCAAGCUAACACACUGAAAUAUUCACAGGUGCUUACAUUUUUGAGUGCCACAUACCCCUUCUCUCCUCCCUCCCCAAGGCAGCUCAGAUCUAUCAAGGGCAUUCUUUCUCAGCUGAAAGGUUAAGCUUACUGCUUUAGUAUUACAUUUCUUUUGAGAAUGUUCUGAGACAAUGCACCCUGCCAUGCCAGGUAAAAAUGUGACAAGGAGCCUUCAGCCAUCCAAAGUGCGGAGUAGAAUAUCCUCCAGCUCAUUCACUCCAGGGCCAGUGUGUGAUAAUCCAGGCUGUGUUUCCAAGACCAGGCUGCACCUUCUUCUUGGUGGUCCCUGGGGACUAUUGUCUAAGCACACUUCCCGUUCCCCAUCUGAGGAGGCCUCCUCCAGGGCCUAG
rnacentral:lncRNA from 1 species